rnacentral:rRNA from 1 species
CUCAGGAUGAACGCUGGCGGCGUGCCUAAUACAUGCAAGUCGAGCGAACGGACAGGAGUGCUUGCACUCCUUGAAGUUAGCGGCGGACGGGUGAGUAACACGUGGGUAACCUACCUAUAAGACUGGGAUAACUUCGGGAAACCGGAGCUAAUACCGGAUAAUAUAUACCUCCGCAUGGAGGAAUAGUCAAAGACGGUUCUGCUGUCACUUAUAGAUGGACCCGCGGUGUAUUAGCUAGUUGGUGAGGUAACGGCUCACCAAGGCAACGAUACAUAGCCGACCUGAGAGGGUGAUCGGCCACACUGGGACUGAGACACGGCCCAGACUCCUACGGGAGGCAGCAGUAGGGAAUCUUCCGCNAUGGACGAAAGUCUGACGGAGCAACGCCGCGUGAGUGAAGAAGGUUUUCGGAUCGUAAAACUCUGUUGUAAGGNNAGAACAAGUACGUUAGUAAACUGAACGUACCUGACG